UUGAUCGUUGCGAGUUGGCUC
rnacentral:piRNA from 1 species